rnacentral:misc_RNA from 1 species
ACUUAUUCUGGUUCUUCUCUCCUGUGUAUUAACACAAAAAGCAAUCACAACUCGUUAAUCAGCAUCCUCAACUUUGUACAUUAACAUAUGUUUGCCCACAGUCAUGCAAAUAUACAUACAAUAAAUAUGCAUGCAAAUGCUAUAAUGCUUUUAAGCAUAAACUAGUAGCCAGGUCCAUUACUUUCCUAAUACUAUUCUGAGUUUUUUAUAACUAUCCCUGCCCAAGAAAAUGAGAAAAGAAAGGGCAGAAAAGGGCAUUCAGCUCAUCUUUUUAGGUUAUUCCUAUCAUUAACAUCUAAUAGGUUAGUUUGGGUAGCAUUGUUUGUAAAUAACAUAAUCACUCAAUAGAAGAAGAAGACGAACAACAAAAUCCUCUUCUGCACUUAACCUAACAAAAGGAACAAAUUCCUCCAACUUCUGUGCAGAGUAAUCAGUAGAAUAACCUGAUUAUGUAAUGAAAGAACAAUAGCGCUGAACUAGAUUCUUCCCAAUUCACCUUCUCAUAUUUUUGCAAACUUCUGCUGUACAAAUGAGCAGGUAUUAUUACAAAGAUGUACGUAUGCGAGGUCUUUACUUCAGGUUCUCUUACAGACUACACUACAAGUUAUUCCUCUGUUUUAGCCGUUGCUGCUGUCACCACUCCAGCUGACAAUCUACAGAGUUGUUGCCUUGUGCCCAUCAAAUUAUAGCAAUCCAUCUUUUGUAAUGAUGCAGACAAAUUGUCUCAACACA